UACGGAGGGUGCAAGCGUUGUCCGGAUUUAUUGGGUUUAAAGGGUGCGUAGGUGGCUUGUUAAGUCAGUGGUGAAAGACAGCCGCUCAACGGUUGAGGUGCCAUUGAUACUGACAGGCUUGAAGCAGACAGAGGCUGCCGGAAUGGAUGGUGUAGCGGUGAAAUGCAUAGAUAUCAUCCAGAACACCGAUUGCGAAGGCAGGUGGCUAUGUCUGACUUGACACUGAGGCACGAAAGCAUGGGGAGCAAACAGGAUUAGAAACCCCGGUAGUCC
rnacentral:rRNA from 1 species